rnacentral:rRNA from 1 species
GAUAAACGCUGGCGGCGUGCCUAACACAUGCAAGUCGAACGCUCUCCGGUUUCGGCCGGAGGGAGUGGCGGACGGGUGAGGAACACGUGGGUCAUCUACCUGGUGGUGAGGAAUACCGGCGAGAAAUCGCUGACAAUACCGCAUAGGUAUCGCGAACGCGAUACAAAGCUUUCCCUCGCGAGAGGGGAGGCGCCACGAGAUGAGCCUGCGGCUGAUUAGCUCGUUGGUAGGGUAACGGCCUACCAAGGCGACGAUCAGUAGCUGGUCUGAGAGGACG